rnacentral:rRNA from 1 species
GACGUAGGGCGCGAGCGUUGUCCGGAUUUAUUGGGCGUAAAGAGCGUGUAGGCGGCCAGGUAGGUCUGGUGUGAAAACUCGAGGCUUAACCUCGAGAUGUCAUCGGAAACCAUCUGGCUAGAGUCCGGAAGAGGAGAGUGGAAUUCCUGGUGUAGCGGUGAAAUGCGCAGAUAUCGUAAGGAAGACCAGUGGCGAAGGCGGGUCUCUGGACAGUUCCUGACGCUGAGGCACGAAGGCCAGGGGAGCAAACGGG